rnacentral:rRNA from 1 species
UGGGGAAUAUUGGGCAAUGGGCGAAAGCCUGACGCAGCGACGCCGCGUGAGGGAUGAAGGUUUUCGGAUCGUAAACCUCUGUCAGAAGGGAAGAAAGUGCGUGGUGCUAAUCAGCCACGUAUUGACGGUACCUUCAAAGGAAGCACCGGCUAACUCCGUGCCAGCAGCCGCGGUAAUACGGAGGGUGCAAGCGUUAAUCGGAAUUACUGGGCGUAAAGCGCACGUAGGCUGUUGUGUAAGUCAGGGGUGAAAUCCCACGGCUCAACCGUGGAACUGCCCUUGAUACUGCAUGACUUGAAUCCGGGAGAGGGUGGCGGAAUUCCAGGUGUAGGAGUGAAAUCCGUAGAUAUCUGGAGGAACAUCAGUGGCGAAGGCGGCCACCUGGACCGGUAUU